ACCAGCUCAAUUAUCCGUGAAAUAUUCUCCCACACGCGUCCUCUGAUGACGCAUUAUGGCGAGGAUGACUCUCCCGUUGUUCUUUUCAGCAGAGCGUGAAGACCCGGAGAUGCUGCGAGGGGGAACACUAUAAAGGUGCCUCUCUCUCUUAUUUUUCGCUUGUUUUUCCUUUAAUUAUCCUGCUAAUUGGGAAUUGCUUGUUGUUGUUGUUGUUUUUUUCUCUUUUCUUCAGAUUUGGUGGAGAGGCUGUAGUCGGGGUUGUCAUGACAACGGCAGGGACACCUUUGAUUGGUGGGAAGUUUGAUUUUCAGGGUAAAGACCGGUCGUAUUGUUUGAUUUAUAGGAGUUCAGGUUCUGAGCGAUGAAAACAUACGUCGAGUUUCUGUGUGAAAGUGUGAACGGCGUCCGCAGAUAUUUGAAGAGAUCCAGCUUUUUUAAAAUUCAGUGCCAGCAACCCACCAGCAAUAGCAGAACUCCAGCCUCAUCUUUAAUUCAUGAAUUUCCACUUCACACACACACACACCGAACACACUCACACACACACUCAGAAAAAAUAAGCUUUUCCAAAAUAAUCCAGUUCUACAAAAGCCAUGCAUGUUUCUUCUAACUUAAUCUGCUCCCCUGUUUGAAUCAAGAUGUUCCCAGAGAAGAAGAAGAAAAGAGGCAGUGACGGUGCAAACUGUUGUCAGGUGAUGAAUGUUUUGCAUCAAAGGGAACAGAAGAACGCCGGUGGCAAUCACAUACGGCGCCCCUCUGGAGACCGUAGGUGGUUGUCUGCGCUGACACCGGGACUUCACAGCUCAUUCAUCCCCUAGUUGUUCUGCAGCUCAGCAAACGCCGCGCAACAGGACCACCAGGCGGGGCGGCUUGAUCGCCGAAACACCUCGCAGGGUGAAAAAAAACAACAGCUACAAGCUGGGCCGCUUUGCCGGGGGACAAGCUAAAAGGCCGCGUCAUCCCGGGAAUACACAGAAAAACACUUUUAGGUUCAGCAAACAAGAACAGCAGAGACGGUGUCACUUUCAAAUGCGCAGCUCUCUUCCUUGAUUGUUUUAGCGAGAAGCGUUUGAUCGAAUGCACAAUGAAAAUAGUGAUUUUAUAUGCCGACUCAAAGUGACACCACUUGAAAAAACAUAACUCUUCAAAACCAAAAGUUAUUAAGCUGAAUUUUUGGGAAGCGUUCCAGAGGUAAAGGGUUAAACUCCGGGUGUUACCGUCUCCUCUCCACCGUCGUUUGAUUGGCAGUUGGAAAGAUGUAUGGUUAUAUGUGUGUGUGCGCGGUUAUGCCUUCACUGUGGGAGGUGUGUGUUUGAGUGUGUGUGUUUGUCGAGGAGGCGGGGGGCUCGGAUCUCAGCGCCAGACAAGGAGGGAAGAAAAUCACUCUGAAAUAACUCCGACUGAAAGGCUGGAGCAGGUUCAUCCAAAUGGCAACCACCACGGCUGAGGCAAAGUGUCAAAAGAAGUUAAGUCUUGGUGAUAUAUUUCUUUUAUUCACAAUGGAGUGAAAAGUGAUAUUAAUAUUGACAAGGUCCGUAGAGGAAAUCACUCAUCCCUGCAGCUGCUGCUCCGCUCUGCAGACUCUCAAGUCUCAGGAACAUCUUUUUAGAGGUUUUACUAAUCAGAUGUUCAAAUCGCUAAAAAAUCAGAAAGUAUUUCAUUUAUUAUGAUGCGAACACAUUAGCUGCCACGUCAACAAGAGCAGCAGAAAAACCCUGAAUCAUGUCAAGUUUGACACAGCUUAACAUUGUAUAAAAAUGAGCCUUACCAAGGACAGUUUGUUUGAGUAGAAAGGCUGGACUCUGCUGUGUAUGGGAUAUUCUGGCGUAAAAUUAAGUUAGGGUCAAACACACCGUAACACAGAGUUAGUCACCCCCUCAAGAGAUGAGUGUUGCCGACGGCUUCUCAACCAACUUUAGUGACGACCGCACGAAAGCAAUACACAGCAGUCUGAGGAGCCAUAAACAAACCUCAACCAAAACGCCACUCUAUAGCCACAAAUAAUCAGAACAGCAGCUAACUUCAUCAACAGGACAUAUAGGGUCCCAGCCAUAGUACGAACCACCAAACAUCUAUUUAACUUUGCCUAAUUUCUUUAGCAAAGAGACUAAACACAACUCACCUACUCUCUUCCAGCAGCCGCUUGUUUGUAGAGAGACCUCAGGCCAGUCUAAUCAGGACUACAGCGGGGUGAUGCAGCUCAAGGAAAAACAUUUAUGAUCAUUACUUUAUAAUUUCCUUAAAUUAAUAACCACCAUAUUAAUCAUUUUGCUUUGCAGACAUGGUAGUUCUUCUGCCUUAGCGUCUCGGUCUGAUUGUAUUUCCAUAAAGUAAUGAUCAUAAAUGUUCUUCCUUGAGCUGCGUCACCCCGCUGUAGUCCUGAUUAGACUGGCCUGAGGUCUCUCUACAAACAAGCGGCUGCUGGAAGAGAGUAGGUGAGUUGUGUUUAGUCUCUUUGCUAAAGAAAUUAGACAAAGCUAAAAAGAUAUUUGGUGGCUAGUGCUGUGUCUGGGACCCUAUAUGUCCUAUUGAUGAAGUUAGGUGCUGUUCUGAGCAUUAUUUGUGUCUAUAGAGUGGCGUUUUGGUUGAGGUUUGUUUAUGGCUCCUCAGACCGCUGUGUAUCGCUAUCUUGCGGUCAUCAACGGUUGCCAUGAAAGUGUAUCCCUUGGACAAAAAUAAUUCCAGAGAGUGUAGUUUCACUGCGUGAUUCGUUCACCAAGUGAUUCAGGCGUCGGUGCGUGCGGUCCCUCACUCGCAGGCUGCUCACCCGGCUGCGCUGCUGACAGUUAAACUGAAGUGAGAAACAAACCAAUUAUUCAAGGAAGUGAUUCGGUCCAGUACGUUCACUUAAAAGAUUCGGUUCUUUUGAGGGAAUCGUUCAUGAACGACACAACACUACCUUACAAAGAUGCUCCAGCUGGUUGAAUUUCCAGAAGGUGCAAAAGAGACGUAAACAUUUUCUCACAGUUGUCUGUCAGCUCUCUUCUUUAACUCUGUUUUGAAUUUGAUUUAUUUUUAGAUUGAACAUCUGUCUCUUAUAUUUCUAUAGGACCAAACUCCGAUUGUACUUUUCCGCUCUUACAGCUGUCUGUGUUUACCGGCUAAUCAUUAACUUGUCUGUCUACCGCUCGGUAUCGGACAGGUCUCAUGCUGCGUUUGUUUAUCAGGGUCUGUGUGCUGUGGCUGAAACAGCAGCUUGAUGAAAAGCUAAAGAGGAAAAGCCGAGGCUGUAAAGACAAGACAAAAAGCUAAACGAGGUUUAAACAAUCAGGAGAGAAGAGUUUAAAUAGACAUGUCAACGCUCUUCUUUGACAUCAAGUCAUGAUGAUUAUAAGUGAACGUUCAAGAAGCGGCUGAUUUAUGGUGUACCUGCUGCGUUGGUUUCCACCAGACCCUAAAUUAGAAUAUAACAUAUAGUGACCAUAUUUCCAACCCUCUGAACAGGAACACUUUAAUUUUACCUCAAACCCACAUGUGUGAGCUGAUGAAGCAGGAAGGUUCAAGCUGACUGUCACUGAUGUUUGCCUCUCUGAAGUGCCAGUAGGUUGCAACAGUGCUACUUCCAGCCUGUACCCACUGUGUUUGCUCAUUUUAAUGUGGGUUUUUAUGCAUCAUUUCCACCACGGAUGACUGAAAAUGGACUCUUGCAAUGUGUGCAAAAUGUUGCAUUGCCUGGAACUUUUAGGAAAGAAGCUGUGACUCUCCCGGAGCUCUUCGGAAAAUGUUAGAUUAUUUUAUUUUUUACACCACCACAGCGAGCCCACCAGACGUUACACUGCAGGUCCUGUCAGUAUGAUAAGUCCGCUGGUAAAGCAAUGGGUGCUCACUGAGAUGGAGCGCAAAUGUGCAUGCAAAUCAGCAUUGACCCUUGACCUGUGGAUUGUGGACUUGAAACAGCAGCAGCUCUGGCUCAUAUAUGAGCAGAAAAAUAUAUGGUAUUGUAAACAUGCUUCAUUGUAUUUGAAAAUUUCGAAGUUUCCGAUUGACCCCAUACAACUAUUAACAAAAACAGCGGGUCUGUGCCAGAGCAAGAAGAUGGAGCAUCGUACAGCGCUGUUUUUGUCGUACAUGAUGUUCACGCUACUUUUUCUGCAGAUGAGGUUAAACGCUUCUCCUCUUCUCUGGUGUUUAUGUUCCGAGGUUACAGGGGUGCAGCGCAUGCACACAUGCAUUGUCCAAUCAUACCCCCACUACGCCGGUUACAUGGUAGAGAAAAUCGAAUUCCAGUCGCAUUAUCUGGGUGUCUUAAUCGAAGUUCUCCGACUAUAAUCCAAGUUCUCAAACUUAAAUUAUGUUCGGACUAAGGUGUUUACAUGCACUUCAGUUGUCCAGUCUUGAUCCGAGUAAGGCAAUAAUUCAGUUUUCUCCAGUGUCACAUGGCUUACUUAUCUACACACUGUAUGUGCUGUUCAGUUAUCGCUUCAUUCACGUACGUUGGUUGGGUUGGGGCUCCUCUGAGGUUCUCUGCAGGCUGGAUUUGGUUACUAAUUGAAUUGCCCAACCCCAUACGCACAAGAUGUGUUUGAUCAGUCAGCGCUGAGGUGCAAAGCCAGAAUCAAAAAAGGGUUUCAUGGCUGCAAAGCCAAGAUUUUAGCACCUGGGGGCAUCAUCUUGUUUGGCUACAGAUAAGUUCCCACUUUGUUUGAUGGCUAUCAAGUCCAUCUGCUCUAAACUUUCAGCAACCCUUCAUUCUUCACGGAAACUAUCGAAUAUCUUUUCAUGAAAACCAGGUUCUUGUUCACGUGGAGCGAUGCGACUGUAUCAGAUUUGUCGAUCGUAAGCGGAUAGAAAUUUCCCUAUUUAUGAGCUGCGAUGAAACUCCUUCAUUGGCUCAAAUCAGGAGUUGUAGCUGCUCUCGUCUGAUGCUGAGAGGGAGAGGAGGGCGAGCGUGUGGCGCUUUGUUUGCUUUGAUGAUCACAUUCCUCCAAGAUCUAAAUAUGAAUCUGUCUCAAAAGUGUAAUUGAAAGUGAGCAUGAGUGUUUGAACCGUAGCACCGGUCUCACACUGCCACACUAAUAAGCUACACUUCAGCUUUGAUGUGGAAGUGUGUCACCUCCUGAGGAGAGGAGCAGAGGGAGGGACGCUCCUUCUCCUCCACAGACAGAUGAUAUCAGUGCAUGUGUGAGCUGCCAUCACAAGUGAGAUAUGCUCUCACAUAAACUCUUCUUUACGUCAGUCUAUUUAUCACUGGAACAAAGACUCACCAGCAGCAGUAAAGUGACAGAAAAAAGCGCCGGCUCUGACUGGGGAUACAGCGCUGAUAUCCAUAAUUAAUUGGUUGCAGAUCUGCCACAUGGGACCAGCAGCUUUCAAGACAAAUUGCCAAACAAGAAGAAGUGAAGAACAAAUACAAUGUUGGAAUAAAAGUCAUCCUCAGAGCGAAUUCAUCUUUCACAAUGCUCCUUUCAUCUGACAUCUCCGUCUGUGCGCCUGUUUGUCCGUGGGUCAGUCCUACUCAUUAACACGCCUUACAUACAGACGACAUUUAAAUAUAAAUCAGGAGUAUUAACAUUUAUAAACAUGAGAGUUUUAUGAUGGCUUGGUAAUGAGGUGGUAUAAAUCCCUGGGCUGUGGUUCACGGUUCCAGCAGACACAUAAACCGCAGAGAGCAUUUUUAACAAGGACGCGCUGCAGCAGCAUCACUUCUCUCUGCAGAUCUGAGACCCAGAGGCAGAUCACUGAUUUAUGGGCUCACGCUGCAGGUAACAAACAUCAUACAACAUGCACAGAGCAUGCUCAAAUUAUGAAGAAUUCAUGGUUAAAGGCAGCAACUCAUAUGUACCUGCAUUUACAGGUUCAUUCGGUAUAUUUUAUUCAUCUAUUUAAUGCUUUUUGUGUCACAUUUGAGACAUACUUUGAUGAUACUUUUAUCAAACCAAUAUGAUCAACAAACUACUCUAAAAAACAUCUGAAUACAGUCUGAUAAAUGAUAAAAAUGUCAUAGUAUAGUGCGGUAAAAAUGUCAUAGAAUAGUACGUUUAAAAUUUCUUUUUUUGAUAUCGAAUAAAAUCAUAUUGAAGCAUGAAAAUAAUUGUCAGAAUAGUAUAAUAAAUAUUUAAUGGUAUGGUAUUUUUUUCAUAUUUUUGUAUGAAAAUAUGUCAUAGUAUAGUAUGAUAAAAAUGUCAUUUUAGUAUGAAAAAAAAUCUUAUUUUAUUAUGAAAAAAAACUCAUUGUAAAGUAUGAUAAAAAUGUCUUUGUACUGUAUGUUAACAAUUUCAUAUUUUAGUAUGAAAAAAAUGUCAAAUUUUAGUAUAAAAAAAACACGCCUUACAUGCAUCUCCAUUUUCAGGUGCAUUCAGUUUAUUUUAUUUAUCCCUUUAAUACCUUUUGUAUCAUAUGUGAUACAUACUUUUAUGAUACUUUUAUCAAACCAAUAUGAUCAACAAACUACUCUAAAAAAACAGCUAAAUACAGUCUGAUAAAUGAUAAAAAUGUCAGAGUAUAGUGUGAUUAAAAUGUCAUAGAAUAGUACGUUUAAAUUUUCAUUUUUUUGGCAUGAAAAUAAAAUCAUAUUGAAGCAUGAAAAUAAUUGUCAGAAUAGUAUAAUAAAUAUGUAAUGGUAUAUUUUUUCAUAUGUAAUGGAAAUUUCUUUCAUAUUUUUGUAUGAAAAUAUGUCAUAGUAUAGUAUGAUACAAAUGUCAUUUUUAGUAUGAAAAAAAAUCAUAUUUUAUUAUGAAAAACCUCAUCGUAAAGUAUGAUAAAAAUGUCUUAGUACUGUAUGUUAAAAGUUUCAUAUUUUAGUAUGAAAAAAACUCACAUGCAUCUCCAUAUUCAGGUGCAUUCAUUUUAUUUUAUUUAAAUUUGUACUUAUUGAAAAUGCACAGAUGUUCAAGUCUGCAAAUAUAGAGCUAAACGUGUCGCUCUGUUUCUUAAAUAUGAAGGUACAAUUAAAAUGUAAAAGAUAUGAAACAAUCAUGAUAAAUGACCGUGAUUUUAAAGUUCAGGAAAGUCAUUUCAACUACAAUCAUGAUGUCUUUCUAUCACGCACCAAAAAAAAGCCUUCUCACAAGUUUUGGAGCAAUGCUGCGGGGAUUUAGAGUUAUUGAGGUCAGGCACCGAUGCCGGGCUUAUUCAAUUCUCCGACGCUCGGGAUCAGAAGAGAAAACGCAGAAAAAAACCUUCCCAUUAUGCUCCUUUGUUUUGUUGUGAGUUGUUUUUCCAACUGCAAGCACACAGGACCUGGUUCAUUGAUUUCUCUACUUUACUCGUCUGUGUUUGAUUUUUUUAUGUGUGCGCCGUGAUUAAGGAAGGUAGACGAAAAGACAAAAUCGAACACGUGAUUCAUGAGUCUGAAUUUCUUGGUCAAGGUGCUCACGCCAGGGUACUUUUUGCCCAAUUUGAACCAUAUCCAGGCAGGUUACAUUAUUCACAGUUAGAAAAUCCACUUAACUACUGAGCAUGUGACUCCUGCUGGGGUUGUUGGUGAGAGGUAGAGUUAUAAUUACCUCCAACUUUUGCAAGGUGUGAAGUUAUGCUGAAAGGCAAGAAUUCAAAAUUAUGAAAACUCAUAUUUUCAUAUCAGGUAUGAUAUAACUCGCAACCAAAUGACAAAUCUCCAGCAGCACGAAGUCCUGCUUUAUUCCUACUGAACUGUUCUGGUACUCCACUUUUAUUGUUAUGCAGAGACAGAGAAGUUCAGUAUUAAGAUACACUAGUUCCUUUUCAUUUUAGAGGUUUUGUAUAUAUUCACUCUCAGUGCGCAUGAUGGAGAGCUUGCAGACCCCUGCAGGUCUCAGAUUGAUGCGCCCUCGAACCUUAAAGCAUUGUGCCAGGGGUGUAGCAUCAAAUUCUGGGCCUCGUACACUCUCAGGCGUGUGAGCAAAAAAGAAAGAAAACAAAAGGGGGUAUUUAUUUAAAAUAAAAAAGCAUAAAUAGGGUUUUAAGCGACAAUCAGAUCAGAUUAUAUUGAUGAGCGGUUCUUUCAUUCUCCACAUGAAUUGAUGCAUUGACCUACUUGUGCUCAAAUACCCACUGAUGUUACACGUCGCUGGUCGCUGUCAGGUAGACUAAACCAUUUUGCACCCCCAAGAGGGGGCCCACCCAGAAUGUCCAAUAUGUUGAGAGGACUGUGACAUGAAGUUCUGUAAGGAUGCCUCGCUCAUGGUCCACACGAAUGAUCAUUUUGACAAGCUUUACUGGUUGCAGAUCUGGGUUACUGCUUCAUCACGCCACAAGUGUAACAACAACUAGUCUGACACUGUUCAAGUAUAUUUAGCUGUCCGUGUUUUCAAACAUUCUGCAUGCAUCUUGUUGACCUGAAGGACAACAUAUUUUGAGAGCCUGAGUGAUGUUAAACAUGGGUACAAGGUCCGUGUUUUAUGAUGGUUGUCGGAGGCCCAUGGCUCCAGAAAUCCAGCACCAAAGUAUCCGAGGUAUUUGAGUGACACAGCUCCACCACCCUAAAGGCUGACAUGACCACCCUAACAGGUUCAUUCUCUCAGGUGAUAUUUGGAAUAAAUUAUGACACCACUUAAUUUGAGGGCCCAAUUCAUUUGAAAUAAAACUAUCACACACACAAAGAAAAAAUCAGGAUUUUCUGGUAGAUUUCCUGGGCUGGAAAGAAGCCGCUGGAAUUUGACACAUUAACUUAAAUGGAAAUAAUCAGUGGUUAUUGGUGGCAAUCGGCACCGACGACCUUUCACCACCAUUCCACCAUGGAAAAUUCAGGGUUAGAGCUCAACCAUCUGCCCACUUAAUGACUAAAACUUAAUCUGCUAUCUGUUUUAACUAUCAUUUCAACAGACUAGUUUAAGUUUGUGUCAGUUUAAGCCUUAAAACUAUUUGUUCGUCCAAGAGUAAGGAGCCAUACACCUUUCAAAAAGGUAAAAACACAGAAUAUCAACCUGUGCUCUGGAUACAAACCCUGUUCAGAAUGUGGUUUUGACUGAAGACUCUGAGUCCCAAGAACAUUAGGAGCCAAAAUCAUUAAAGAUUCGAGGACAGAAAAACAGCAGCGGGCCAAAAAUACAGGAAAGAUUAUGGAAACACAGACUUUUCAUUACUUACUGCUCAUUAGACAGACAGGGACACACACACACACACACAGACUGAUAACAAUUCAGUUUCCUAAUGGAUAUGUGGUGUCAGAAAGAAUCAUUGUGCAGAAAAACAACAGCAAUAAAGUGCUGUUUGAACGAUGCUUGUGCAAGAAAAGCCAUUAAGCAGCGGGUCAAUAGUGGAGGACGAGCAGCCUGAGAAUUAAACUGAUCAUGACAUCAAGCUGAGGGCAGAGAGAGAGCCUCCAAAGACUUCCUUUUGGCAGCGCUUUACUCAUCUGCAGCAGAGCCUUUUCAUUAAGUACUGGAUGUAAUAGAUGACCCAUUGAUUCUCUCGCUCUGCUUUUCCAUGUCACUCUAUCCACCUCCGUUCCUCUGCUGUCAAAAAAACAUCUCAGAGUUUUUCCACCGUCGCAAGCAAUCAGAUAUGAACAUUCAUCUUGAUUAGAGUCCACUCAGCUCAGCAGGAACACCAUCACUUUUGUCUAUUCAUCACUUAACUUUUUAGGACCUGGACUCGACGGUAUAAUUUCACGGAUCGCGAUUUUGAGAAGACGGAGGGGUGUUGGACUUUUGCCCUGAAGCUCUUUGUCCAUGAUGACACCACCAUGUUUGACUUUCUACACAGGUGAACUGUGGGCAAACUCCAGCUUUUCUCCACACUCUGCUGCAGAUAUUGCAUGUGAAAGCUGUUCUCGCUCACAUUCGCUCACAUUGCUGAUUUGACCCUCAGCAGCUGCUGCUUUUUACAGCCCUGCGUCUCGGUGAAUUGUGCCUCAGUGCACCUCAGGACACUACAGAGCACUGUGAAUGUAACAUUUUACCGCAGGUACAGAGAGAACAGAGCCCUCAUGUUUAUUUUAGCUGCAGGCGAUAUAUAACAGCCACAAGGGGGCAGACUGUUGACAGGUUAAAAUACUGUAUGGAUGUGACCUGACCUUACCUCUGAGAUUCUGGAUUUGGGUUCAGCACUAAAACACAAAGUGGAGUUGAAGUGAGACAAAGAGGCAGCGUCGACUGCGGUUCAAGCUGCUGGACUAAGACUUCUGUCAGGACAGUAAAGAAGAGAAACAGCCGACACCGUCCAUAAGUUAAAGAGAAAAGAAGAAUCAGCACCGCCAAAGUCCUCCUAAAGUCCACGUGGAGAGAUGAAGCAGACUGGAAAUAAUCCUGACGUCUUUUUGUGACCUCUAAAAGCAAACUGGACCAUCUGCAUGAAUACUGAUAAUUUCUAUAAAGUGGUUUUUAAUGCCUGUCACUGCUGCCAGAGGGAAGGUGUCAGACGAGACGAUUUAUAGCUCGCUUUUUUUUUUUUUUUUUUGUUACAUUUUCCAUAACAUGGAUUCUCUCUGAGUGAAUGGUUUGACUUUUUACAGAAAGAGGGAUGAGAUUUAAGACAUGAAACAUGAAAUAUGAGACAUGAGAUAUGAGAAAUGAGGAAUGAGAUGAGAUAUAGACAUGACAUAUGAGACAUGUGAUAUGAGACAUAAGAUAUGAGAAAUGAGAUUAGAUAUAGACAUGAGAUAUGAGAAAUGAGAUAAAAUAAAGGACAUCAGAAUCAGAAUGCCCUUUAUUGUCAUUAUACGGAAGGUACAAUGAUAUUGAAGAACUUCUCCAUCUUCAGUGCAAUAGAUACAAAAAAGAAAACAGAUUGAAGUAAAAAAAAUAUUUUAUAAAAAUACAGGUACAGACUAUAUACAAGAAAAAAUCCUCUAGUGCGGCAUAGGAAGUGCAAUGAGAAUGAAAAUGAAAACUAUAUACAAGAAUAGAAAAGAAGAUAAAUACUAUGAAUAUAUAUAUAUAUAUAUAUAUAUAUAUAUAUAUAUAUAUAUAUACAUACAUACAUAUAUAUACAUGUAUAUAUAUAUAUUUAGAUAGAUAUAGAUAUAUAGAUAGAUAGAUAGAGAGAUAUGUAGAUAGAUUGAUAUAUAGAUAGAGAGAGAGCGAUAGAUUGCACUUAAUAUAUUGCACUGUUGUAUUCAAACACAGCAGCAGAGAUAUGAAACAUGAGGUAUGAGACAUUAGAUAUACAGUAAGUCAGAGAUAUAAGGCAUGAAAUAUAGGAAAUGAGAUAUGAGACAUGAAAUCUGAGAAAUGAGAUAAAAGACAUGACAUCAGAAUAAGAAUGAGAAUCAGACAGCCCUUUCUUGUUAUUAUACAGAAGGUACAAAAAUAGUUGAAAAAAUACAGGUACAGACUAUAUACAAGAUUAAAUCCUUUAGUGCAGCGUAGGCAGUGCAAUGAGAAUGAAAAUGAAAACUAUGUACAAGGAAAGAGAUAGAUAGAUAGAUAGAUAGAUAGAUUUUGCAAUUAACAUAUUGCACUUUUGUGUUCAAACACAGCAGCAUAGAUAUGAGAUUUGAAAUAUAAGAAAUGAGACAUGAAAUAUGAGAAAUACAGCUGAGUGUUAAAACCUUAACCGAAGACGAAGAAGAAGGUGGCUAGUAAAGAUUAAUUAAGGGAUGAAAGUUUCAGGCACACCAGUAAGAGUUAGUUGACAUUGUUGAUAUUUAACAUAAUCAUGCAAAAGCGGGAAAUCACAUGCAAACCUACAAGUUUGCACACUUUAUGAUGUUUGCAUCAGUAGGUGGUUCAAGCUCAUGCCACACAUAUAAAGGUUGUAUCCUCGCUGCAGUGGAGCGUGCACAGCAUCAACCAGCUGCUGCUCGCCACCUCCAACAUUCAGGAUUAGGUUGCUGCAGACAUGAAGUGAACUGCUAUUGGACCUGCGAACUCUAAGCACCUUAAAUUAAUCAAACAUAGUCUGUUAUUACUUAUUUCUUUAUCAUGUACAUUGACGUCAUUUUCUCCCAUCUAAUUACUAACCACACCUCUCUGAAUGUCUCCUAGGUUCUUCUGGAUUGAUUCUACGGACGGUCGGCUGCUGUGGACCUGCCUGCCUCAGGACACUACAAAUUUACAAUGUCAUAACUUUUUAAAAUAAACCUAUACACCAG